rnacentral:rRNA from 2 species
AAAAACAUCGCCUCUUGACUUAUAAUAAGAGGUCCAGCCUGCCCAGUGAAUUUUUAACGGCCGCGGUAUCCUAACCGCGCGAAGGUAGCAUAAUCACUUGUUCUUUAAAUGGGGACUCGUAUCAACGGCAUCACGAGGGUUUUACUGUCUCCUCUUUUUGAUCAGUGAAAUUGAUCUUCCCGUGAAGAAGCGGGAAUAAUCCUAUAAGACGAGAAGACCCCAUGGAGCUUUAAACCAAAUAACAACUUAACCACUUACCCCAUUAGAAAUUUAAGCCCUGUUAUAAGGUUUUUGGUUGGGGUGACCGCGGAGUAAAGAACAUCCUCCACGACGGAAAGAACACACUCUUUAUUUAAGAACCACAAUUCUAGAAAUUAGUAUACUAACGUUUACUGACCCGAUAAUCGAUCAACGGACCAAGUUACCCUGGGGAUAACAGCGCAAUCUACUUCAAGAGCUCAUAUCGACAAGUAGGCUUACGACCUCGAUGUUGGAUCAGGGUAUCCCGGUGGUGCAGCCGCUACCGAAGGUUCGUUUGUUCAACGAUUAAAACCCUACGUGAUCUG